rnacentral:rRNA from 1 species
AUUGAACGCUGGCGGCAUGCCUUACACAUGCAAGUCGAACGGUAACAGGUUAAGCUGACGAGUGGCGAACGGGUGAGUAAUGUAUCGGAACGUGCCCAGUCGUGGGGGAUAACUGCUCGAAAGAGCAGCUAAUACCGCAUACGACCUGAGGGUGAGAGCGGGGGAUCGCAAGACCUCGCGCGAUUGGAGCGGCCGAUAUCAGAUUAGGUAGUUGGUGAGGUAAAGGCUCACCAAGCCGACGAUCUGUAGCUGGUCUGAGAGGACGACCAGCCACACUGGGACUGAGACACGGCCCAGACUCCUACGGGAGGCAGCAGUGGGGAAUUUUGGACAAUGGGCGCAAGCCUGAUCCAGCCAUGCCGCGUGCGGGAAGAAGGCCUUCGGGUUGUAAACCGCUUUUGUCAGGGAAGAAAAGGUUCUGGCUAAUACCUGGGACUCAUGACGGUACCUGAAGAAUAAGCACCGGCUAACUACGUG